ACUCCGAAAGGGCCCCGCCUCGCGAAUC
rnacentral:piRNA from 1 species